rnacentral:rRNA from 2 species
UAACACGUGGGCAACCUACCUUAUCGACUGGGAUAACUCCGGGAAACCGGGGCUAAUACCGGAUAACAUCUAGCACCUCCUGGUGCCGGAUUAAAAGAGGGCUUCUUGCUCUCACGAUGAGAUGGGCCCGCGGCGCAUUAGCUAGUUGGAGAGGUAACGGCUCCCCAAGGCGACGAUGCGUAGCCGACCUGAGAGGGUGAUCGGCCACACUGGGACUGAGACACGGCCCAGACUCCUACGGGAGGCAGCAGUAGGGAAUCUUCCGCAAUGGACGAAAGUCUGACGGAGCAACGCCGCGUGAGUGAUGAAGGGUUUCGGCUCGUAAAGCUCUGUUAUGAGGGAAGAACACGUACCGUUCGAAUAGGGCGGUACCUUGACGGUACCUCAUCAGAAAGCCACGGCUAACUACGUGCCAGCAGCCGCGGUAAUACGUAGGUGGCAAGCGUUGUCCGGAAUUAUUGGGCGUAAAGCGCGCGCAGGCGGCCUUUUAAGUCUGAUGUGAAAUCUUGCGGCUCAACCGCAAGCGGCCAUUGGAAACUGGGAGGCUUGAGUACAGAAGA